rnacentral:rRNA from 1 species
UACGGGGGGGGCAAGCGUUGUUCGGAAUUACUGGGCGUAAAGGGCUCGUAGGCGGCCAACUAAGUCGGAUGUGAAAUCCCCAGGCUUAACUUGGGAACUGCAUCCGAUACUGGAUGGCUUGAAUCCGGGAGAGGGAUGCGGAAUUCCAGGUGUAGCGGUGAAAUGCGUAGAUAUCUGGAGGAACACCGGUGGCGAAGGCGGCCCCCUGGACCGGUACUGACGCUGAGGCGCGAAAGCGUGGGUAGCAAACGGG